GUGCACUUGACCGCUCCUCCCUCCGCGUUGGAGGCGGAAUAGUGGGUUUUGCUGCAACCGGUUUUCUUUCUGUUUUCACCCAUUCUGGCACAAUCCGGCGCCAUCGUCCUUCUUGUGAGGCCAAGCCUGAAAAUGCGAAGCAGAGAGGCAGAACCAAAAUUGAGGCGAAUCCGGGAACCUGCCAAUGGGUCUCCGGGUGCGGUCUCUGAAACUGGAGGAUAUCAGGAGGAAAGGCUCUCCGAUGCGGAGAGAAUGGGGAAGCUCUUGGCAUGGUUGGCUGUAGGUGUGUGAUACCGGAGGAGCAGGAGUCAAAUAGGAUACGCCGACUUUUAAUUCAAGGAACCCUUUUCUGAAACACUUUGCCACAAUGAAGGAAAUAAGAUUACAGCCGAAAAGAUACAUAUUAAGGAAUUGUACUCUCAGAAAUGUUGAGAAAAGAUACAUGGGUCUUGGAAGAUAAUUACUCAAAAUAUGCAGGGAAGGUAGUAUAUCUUUCUAUUUUAAAUGUAUUAAGUAUUCCUGGAACUAUAGCAGUGAGUUGGAAAUGG
rnacentral:antisense_RNA from 1 species